rnacentral:rRNA from 1 species
AGAGUUUGAUCAUGGCUCAGAACGAACGCUGGCGGCAGGCCUAACACAUGCAAGUCGAGCGCGCCCUUCGGGGUGAGCGGCGGACGGGUUAGUAACGCGUGGGAAUAUGCCCUUCACUGCGGAAUAGCCUCUGGAAACGGAGAGUAAUACCGCAUACGCCCUUCGGGGGAAAGAUUUAUCGGUGAAGGAUUAGCCCGCGUUGGAUUAGGUAGUUGGUGGGGUAAUGGCCUACCAAGCCGACGAUCCAUAGCUGGUUUGAGAGGAUGAUCAGCAACACUGGGACUGAGACACGGCCCAGACUCCUACGGGAGGCAGCAGUGGGGAAUCUUAGACAAUGGGGGAAACCCUGAUCUAGCCAUGCCGCGUGAGUGACGAAGGCCCUAGGGUCGUAAAGCUCUUUCAGCUGUGAAGAUAAUGACGGUAGCAGCAGAAGAAACCCCGGCUAACUCCGUGCCAGCAGCCGCGGUAAUACGGAGGGGGUUAGCGUUGUUCGGAAUUACUGGGCGUAAAGCGCGCGUAGGCGGACUAUUAAGUCGAGGGUGAAAUCCCGGGGCUCAACCCCGGAACUGCCUUCGAUACUGGUAGUCUUGAGUUCGAGAGAGGUGAGUGGAAUUCCGAGUGUAGAGGUGAAAUUCGUAGAUAUUCGGAGGAACACCAGUGGCGAAGGCGGCUCANUGGCUCGAUACUGACGCUGAGGUGCGAAAGUGUGGGGAGNAAACAGGAUUANAUACCCUGNAGUCCACACCGUAAACGAUGAAUGCCAGACGUCGGGCAGUAUACUGUUCGGUG